rnacentral:tRNA from 1 species
AUGUAGCCAAGUGGAUCAAGGCAGUGAAUU